rnacentral:lncRNA from 1 species
UAUAGACUAAGAGCAGCAGUCUGAUAGACACAUGCAUGUUCCUAGUUCUCGAGGACAAGGUGCCUUGAUACUUCUACUUAACAUGCAAAUCAAACGAGAUGCAUGAGUCUUAACGUUCGGUGUAACAGAAGACCUUUGGACACACAGUGCUAUUGCUCUUCCUUGCAUAGUCCAACCGGCCACAAAGAGAGAGAGAAAAGAUGGCGGCCAGAUAUGUCUGUGUGCUGGUCAUCUCUGCAGGGGUGAUCAGUUUGAAUGGAAUACUGGCAUCUUGGAUAAUGGGGUUUCAACACUCUGAGAUUAGACAGAAGUCUUCCAUAAAGUCAUUCACAAUCAACUCAGAUGCAGCUCAAACAGAGAUGACAACAUUAGUGAGUACAUUAGAUGUGACAAAAGGUGUGUCGAACUCGCCAAAGACACAAAUAAUCACAAACAUUCCUGAAACUGCAUCAGUGAAUAUGAUGUCUGGAUCAUCUGUGGUAUCAAAAGCAUCAUCCGUUGCUAUUGCUGAACCCUCUCGGCAAACAACAGCUGAGAUGGCAGCAGUGAGUGCAGCUGGGGCAGUCAGAUCUACAGCUGCGGGAACAAUCGUCUUGUCUGAGACUAUAGAGAAAGUUACGAUUUUACUUGGAACGAAAAAGGCAGAAAGACAGGAAACAGCAGAAACAACUCCAGGUGAAACAGUCACCACAUAUAAACAAACAAAAGAACAUGCCAGUGUGGAAACACUGACAAAUACAGCUCAAAAACCACCUGAACCUGAGAGCAUAAGUGAUAGUGAUAUCAUACAAACAUAUGAAAGAGAAACAGGUGUGACAAUAUUUGAGAAACCAUCAGAAAAAAACACCAUACCAAAACUAGGAUCAGAGACAACCAGAUUUGCUCCAACUAUAACAGCUACAGCUAAUAUCAGGAGUGCAACUCCAAUACCUGAACCAGUGACAGACAGAGGAACACAUUUCACUAACAACAAACUGAAAACGUCAAAAAUCAACCCCGGAAAAUAA